rnacentral:tRNA from 3 species
GCGGGAGUGGCGGAAUUGGUAGACGCGCUGGAUUUAGGUUCCAGUACCGCGAGGUGUGAGAGUUCAAGUCUCUCCUCCCGUACCA